ACGUUCAAGCUGGAAUCACUUCCUUCCUGACUUCCCAAAUGUAGAAAACUAGGACCCUCCCCUCAGUGUGGUGAGGCCAGUUUUGCUAUGGAAUAUGGAGUGAAGGCUUUCUGAAGGUGCUGAGCUGGUUGCAGUUAUCCCAGUGCUCUAAUCAGGGGAAAAUACCUGAAGCCAAGCUGUGGGGAAAGGGACUGGUGCCUUCCAUGUCUGAGAGAACUGAUGGAUUUUUACCCCCUCCACCCUGCCACGAGAGCUAAAUCUAAUGGCAAAGUGAGCAAGUAGAGGAAGAUGGACAGAGGCAGCUGGCAGGAUGCUGUGGCCAGGUACUCAUUAAAGUCUCCAACUCUCUCAGUGACCAUUAAUGACUAAUUAGUUGUGCUACUGGUGCCUCUUCUGCAGCACUGAUUAAUUUAAGCGUUCUCCACUGCAUGCCGUGCCCAGACUGCACUGUGGGGGCUGCGUGGCGGGCAGAGGCCCCUCUGGCACCGGGUCGAGCCCUGCCUUGGCACCAGCCAAAGAGAUGGCUGUGCUGUUGGCCCCAGGGGUGGCCACAGCUUUGUCCGUGGGUCCAAGCAUCCCCACAGCUGGCCCUGCUGUUCCUAGUCUCCUCCUGAGCAGCGGAGGGUGCUCGCUGUUCCCCUGCCCUGCAUGUGGAGGGGAGGCGGGCAGGAGAUGGUUUGCAGGAUGUCCUUGUGGCCCAUGUGCUCCUCUGGCUCCUGCUCUAAUUUACUGAGGCCCUGUGGUUUAUUAACUGUGGUCUUGGCAUGAUGGAUGGGGCUUGUUUAAUGCGAGCCUGCCUUUGGUGCUGCUUCUUCAGCAGGUGCUGAUUUGUUCUCUUCCCUCCUCUGUCUCAGAGCUGAUAGAAACCUAGCUGGGAUCAGGGUAAGGGUCUGUGAUUUUUUUAUUUAUCUUUUUUCCCCUCUGACAUCUGUAUGGAUAUGAGCUUGUUCCUUUCCCUUCUGCUCCACCAGCCACCUCCUCACCCCCUCGCCUUGGUAAGAGCCUGGCCCAGUUUCGGGUGUAGAGGCACAGAAAAGCCAAAGCCUGGAUGUGGGUGGGCAACAUCGCGUGGGUGCCGGGGGGGUUGCUGAGGGCAGGAGCAGGCAGAAAGCAGCACGUUUGCCAGCUGGACGGAGCUAGCACAAGGACAAAGCUGCCCCUUCCACCUGCAGCUGCACCUUGAGAAGGGACCCCACAUCCAGAGGGCUUCCUGCGUGCUGGAGGGGAUGAAUUCACACCCUGGCUGCCCUGUCUGGCUCUGCCUGCAGCCUCCAAGGAGCAACCAGGAGCUGCUGCCCUCCCAGCACAGUGCUGGGCACAGACCAGAGCCAGCCCUGCCAGGGGACAAGGAGAGUGGUUGUGGCUGUGGGGCAGGACCCAAACUGGGCUGGCCCCACUGGUGUGUGCCUGGGAGGGUGGUGCAGAGGCCAGGGGAAGGUUUAUUAAUUGCUUGGUGGUGCUGUGUUAACGUGGCCCAUUUGCAGCUUUUUCUCUUCUGUUUUGAAACUGUGAAAUGAGGCGCAGUAAUCAAGGAAGGUUUUAAUAACCAUCCCAGCUCUGACAUUUAAAUUACAGAUGGCAUUUUCAAU